rnacentral:rRNA from 1 species
AGGUGCUAUCAUACCAGCACUAAUGUAUCGGAUCCCAUCAGAACUCUGUUGCUAAGCGUGCUUGGGCGAGAAUGGUACUAAGAUGAGAAUUGUCACAGGACUUC